rnacentral:rRNA from 1 species
ACUGAGACACGGCCCAGACUCCUACGGGAGGCAGCAGUGGGGAAUAUUGGACAAUGGGGGGAACCCUGAUCCAGCCAUGCCGCGUGUGUGAAGAAGGCCUUUUGGUUGUAAAGCACUUUAAGCGAGGAGGAGGCUACCGAGAUUAAUACUCUUGGAUAGUGGACGUUACUCGCAGAAUAAGCACCGGCUAACUCUGUGCCAGCAGCCGCGGUAAUACAGAGGGUGCAAGCGUUAAUCGGAUUUACUGGGCGUAAAGCGCGCGUAGGUGGCCAAUUAAGUCAAAUGUGAAAUCCCCGAGCUUAACUUGGGAAUUGCAUUCGAUACUGGUUGGCUAGAGUAUGGGAGAGGAUGGUAGAAUUCCAGGUGUAGCGGUGAAAUGCGUAGAGAUCUGGAGGAAUACCGAUGGCGAAGGCAGCCAUCUGGCCUAAUACUGACACUGAGGUGCGAAAGCAUGGGGAGCAAACAGGAUUAGAUACCCUGGUAGUCCAUGCCGUAAACGAUGUCUACUAGCCGUUGGGGCCUUUGAGGCUUUAGUGGCGCAGCUAACGCGAUAAGUAGACCGCCUGGGGAGU